rnacentral:rRNA from 1 species
CAGUCGCCGCGGGAAUACAGAGGGUGCAAGCGUUAAUCGGAAUUACUGGGCGUAAAGCGCGCGUAGGUGGUUUGUUAAGUUGGAUGUGAAAUCCCCGGGCUCAACCUGGGAACUGCAUUCAAAACUGACUGACUAGAGUAUGGUAGAGGGUGGUGGAAUUUCCUGUGUAGCGGUGAAAUGCGUAGAUAUAGGAAGGAACACCAGUGGCGAAGGCGACCACCUGGACUAAUACUGACACUGAGGUGCGAAAGCGUGGGGAGCAAACAGGAUUAGAUACCCGCGUAGUCCCUGUCUCUUAUAC